UCACUUUCUCUCUCCUAGCUGUGCUUUUCCUGCAGGGACUGAACAAGGGCAGUGUGUGCACAUGUGGGAGUGCCAGAAGCACCAGCGCAAUCCAGAUGUGCCCAGGCCCAUCUGUGCGUGAAAAUGCAGACACACCACACUAUUUAUCAAUUAGUGUCUGCUGCUGCCAGUGUCACCAGUUCUCUGCCUGAUGAAUGAUGCUAGGCUGGACAAGCCACACCCCAAGAUAUCCCGCUGCACUCAGAUACAAGACUGAAGAAGCAAG
rnacentral:lncRNA from 10 species